AUACGUAGGGGGCGAGCGUUGUCCGGAAUUACUGGGCGUAAAGUGCGCGCAGGCGGCCUGUUAAGUCAGGUGUUAAAAUGCGGAGCUUAACUCCGCACCGCACUUGAUACUGGCAGGCUUGAGUGCAGGAGAGGAAAGUGGAAUUCCUAGUGUAGCGGUGAAAUGCGUAGAUAUUAGGAGGAACACCAGUGGCGAAGGCGACUUUCUGGACUGCAACUGACGCUGAGGCGCGAAAGCUAGGGGAGCGAACAGGAUUAGAUACCCUGGUAGUCCUAGCCGUAAACGAUGGGUACUAGGUGUUGGGGGUGACAAUCCUCCAGUGCCGCAGUUAACGCAUUAAGUACCCCGCCUGGGGAUUACGACCGCAAGGUUGAA
rnacentral:rRNA from 1 species